rnacentral:rRNA from 1 species
GAGUGGACUCCUACGGGAGGCAGCAGUGGGGAAUAUUGCACAAUGGGCGCAAGCCUGAUGCAGCCAUGCCGCGUGUGUGAAGAAGGCCUUCGGGUUGUAAAGCACUUUCAGCGAGGAGGAAGGCCAGUGACUUAAUAAGUGGCUGGAUUGACGUUACUCGCAGAAGAAGCACCGGCUAACUCCGUGCCAGCAGCCGCGGUAAUACGGAGGGUGCAAGCGUUAAUCGGAAUUACUGGGCGUAAAGCGCACGCAGGCGGUUUGUUAAGUCAGAUGUGAAAUCCCCGAGCUUAACUUGGGAACUGCAUUUGAAACUGGCAAGCUAGAGUCUUGUAGAGGGGGGUAGAAUUCCAGGUGUAGCGGUGAAAUGCGUAGAGAUCUGGAGGAAUACCGGUGGCGAAGGCGGCCCCCUGGACAAAGACUGACGCUCAGGUGCGAAAGCGUGGGGAGCAAACAGGAUUAGAUACCCUUGUAGUCCUGAGU